rnacentral:rRNA from 1 species
GACGAACGCUGGCGGCGUGCUUAACACAUGCAAGUCGAACGGAAAGGCCCUGCUUUUGUGGGGUGCUCGAGUGGCGAACGGGUGAGUAACACGUGAGUAACCUGCCCUUGACUUUGGGAUAACUUCAGGAAACUGGGGCUAAUACCGGAUAGGAGCUCCUGCUGCAUGGUGGGGGUUGGAAAGUUUCGGCGGUUGGGGAUGGACUCGCGGCUUAUCAGCUUGUUGGUGGGGUCGUGGCUUACCAAGGCUUUGACGGGUAGCCGGCCUGAGAGGGUGACCGGCCACAUUGGGACUGAGAUACGGCCCAGACUCCUACGGGAGGCAGCAGUGGGGGAUAUUGCACAAUGGGCGGAAGCCUGAUGCAGCAACGCCGCGUGCGGGAUGACGGCCUUCGGGUUGUAAACCGCUUUCGCCUGUGACGAAGCGUGAGUGACGGUAAUGGGUAAAGAAGCACCGGCUAACUACGUG